rnacentral:rRNA from 1 species
CUACGGGAGGCUCCAGUUGGGAAUCUUGGACAAUGGGGGAAACCCUGAUCCAGCCAUGCCGCGUGAGUGAUGAAGGCCUUCGGGUUGUAAAGCUCUUUUGCCCGGGAAGAUAAUGACUGUACCGGGAGAAUAAGCUCCGGCUAACUUCGUGCCAGCAGCCGCGGUAAUACGAAGGGGGCUAGCGUUGUUCGGAAUUACUGGGCGUAAAGCGUGCGCAGGCGGCCUUCCAAGUCAGUGGUGAAAGCCCGGAACUCAACUCCGGAAUUGCCAUUGAAACUGUUUGGCUUGAGGACGAGAGAGGUGAGUGGAAUUCCCAGUGUAGAGGUGAAAUUCGUAGAUAUUGGGAAGAACACCGGUGGCGAAGGCGGCUCACUGGCUCGUUUCUGACGCUCAUGCACGACAGCGUGGGGAUCAAACAGGAUUAGAUACCCUUGUAGUC